CUCUGUCAAACAAGUAAAGAAAAUCUUUUUAAAAAAAUAAGAAGGAAUAAAAACAUAAAUUAAUUAAAAGAAAUUUAAAAAAUAAGUUAAUUUUUUAAAAAUUGACAGCCUAAAAAAAAAUAAGGAAGAAAUGAAUGAAGGCAUACAUUAAUGAAAGAGAAAAAAUUUCUAGAUAAAGGUUAUCAAUAAUAAAAUCAAUCAAAAUUAAUAAAAAAUCAAAAGGUGGUUCAAUAAAUCUGAUCAAGAAAAAGGACUCCAACAGAACAUACAUGAAUGUAUAAGAACAAGGUGAGGUUUAAAAAAAAAAGUUAAUACCAGAGUAUUGAGAGCAAGAUGGAGUCUCUGAUGUCCAGCAGGGACCAGUAUCAAGCCAUGGGCAGCCGUUAAGGACACUGCAGCCACGAGAUAUCAACGAGACCAGCACCAGCUGCCGACACCCCAGGGCUGAUCAAGAGCACAGGCACAGGAGGUUUUCAGGGGCCCCUGACCAAUUCAAUCCCUUUAAAAAGGGGAGGGUUUUUGCAGCAAACUGUCAGGCUUUCCAGACCCUGAGCCCUCUAUGUCUGACCACUUAAAUAAAAAAGGCAGCUGCCGGGGCACUUGGGUGGCUUGGUGGGUUAAAGCCUCUGCCUUUAGCUUAGGUCAUGAUCUCCGGGUCCCCGCACUGGGCUCUCUGCUCAGCAGGGAGCCUGCUUCCACCUCUCUCUCUGUCUGCCUCUCUGCGUACUUGUGAUCUCUGCCUGUUAAAUAAAUAAAUAAAAUCUUUAAAAAAGAAAAAAAAAAAAAAAAGCAGCUGCCACUGAAGGAUCUGCCCCAUUGAUCUCAGAACAGACCCGAGAUCCUUCACUGUUUGCACAUAAUAAGAUGCCAGUGCCUAGAGCUGACCUGGACCUGACCGAGGCCUUCUCUCAACUGCGCGCCCACGGACGGACUGCGUGUUCAGUUUAUUAACUUCCUUACCCCCUGUGGUAUCUUAUUUUCUGGGUGACUUGGGGUAUCCUUUGUGUGCUAUGGAAGAAGCCACGUUAACCACUGGUAAAAUCUCAUUGAGUUUGGAAUCCUGAGCCUGCUUUAUAAUUAUGUUAACCUUGGCUUAUGAUGGAAUAAAGCUUGUGGAAAGACACUCCUGCGUGUGCCUUCACAGCGUGUUCAUGACACAGAGACAAUUUAAUACACAAAAUUUGAAAAUGUAAAUGAAAGGGAUCCUUUUCUAGAAAAAAACAUACAUUUAAUCUCUUAAAAAAGUCACUGCAUCCAGAUGGCUUUAAAGGUGAGUUUUUCAAACCUAAGGAAUAGAUCAUUCAUACGCUAGGUCUAUUCCAGGUCAUACAAAAAGAGAUUAACCUGAGUCAUUUUGAGAUCCACCAUAAACUAAGAGCAAAACUGGACAAGGCAACUAAAGAAAACCAUAAGCCAGUUUCACUUAUGAACUUAUGUUACAGGAUUGCAGGGUUCUUGUCUUACUGAGUCGGAGAAUGACUCUCGGGGACACAAAAAGGUGAAGAGAAGUGAAAGUUCAUUAAGUGAAGGGGAGAACAGAAAGGAAAGCAGCAGCUCUCUAGAGAGAGGGGGUCCCAAAUGGGCUGCCACUGAGGACUUUUAAUGGUAGUCUUUUAUUGAGAACUGAGUGGGAAGCUUGUGGCCUUGAGACUCUUGGUUUGAGUAAGGACUACUGAUAACACCCUUACUGACUUAUCUUUGAGGAUUGGUCAUUUUCUGUGAUACACUGUAGCCGCCAAAGGAAAAAAUACUCCCAGCCAUCCCAGGCCAGGCUGUCUGUUCCCUUAUCUUCUGUUCGCUCUGUCUUAAGGCUUCUGCCUGCCGGGAGCAGUUUCAGAGCCCAGCCAGGGACUCCCAGUCUCUCCCUGUCUCUACCUUAACCCUUUCCUUAUUCACUUAGACACAAAAAUCCUGUAUGAAAUACACAGCAAUUUUCAUCCAGCAAUGUACUGGAAGAAUACAUAGCAGGACUGUAAGGAUGGUAGACAUGGUUCAACAUUAGAAAAUCUAUUAUUGUAAUCCUAUUGCUGCAGGGUAAUGGAGAAAACUGUAUGAUCAUCUGUGAGAGUAGUACUGGAAGUAUUUGGUAAAAAAAAAAAACAAAAAAACCCACUUCUGAUUUUAAGAAAUAAUAAAACAAAUUGGCAAACUAGAAAAAGAACAAAGUGCAGUUUGUUUUUAAUUUUCAAAAACCUUCAGAAAACAUCAUGAGGGAUAAGGUAAGAUGCAAUCCGUGUGACUUCUGGGAAGAAGGAAGCGCGCCCUGAGGCUAGAUGGGUGUUGUGUUGGAUUCUUGGGAAAAGACAAAAUUGUUAUUUACAGAUAAAUUCUUACCCAGAAAACCCAAGAGAAUUAUUAGAAAACAAAGGUUCAGCGAAGUGACCACAGAGAUCCACACACUAAAACCCAAAUGAUCCCAGGGUACAAUACAAACAAGUCCACUGGGAAGAACCAACCAACCAAAACGGCGAUAAAAACUGCCAGGAAAAGAAACGAGAAAGAAACGUGCAAACCACCAAGAAGUCUGCAAGGCUUCAGCUGAAGCCCCAGGGGCGACUCGGAUCCACGGGAGACACCAGCACAGCGCGGGACAGGAAAGCUCAGUAUUGUACUGGGAGCACAUCUGGGCAAGCUCAUCUACGGGAAAGCAAAUCCCAGGACACCCCUGCCAUCCGGCGACAGGCCAUUACAGAAUCUGAACGGAAUCCCAAACAAAUGCCGGAAAAACGCUGCCAUUUGGCGACCUUCUGUUACAGAGCUCGGCCGUAGGGCUCCAGGCUCCCGAUGUGCCUGGAGGUAACGCCCCACGCGGACCGCGGCAGCCGGCGCCGAAGGAAGCCUGCGCCGGAAGACCGCGCGGCCGGAAGAGGCCCGUGGCCCCGCCCCUCCUUGCGUCGUGGGCGGGGCGUUCCCGCCCGGCUGACGGCCCCCGCGCGUCCCCGCGGCGCGCCCGUGUGCGGUCCCACGUCCGGCGCUGCCGCUGGUUCCCGGGCAGCCGUGGGCAGAGCCCUGGAACUCGCCCCACAUGGUCCUUUCCCCCUUGGUUUCCAGUACGUGGUGGCCGCAGUGGGAGCUGUGGCUGGAAAGGGGCCGCGUGGCGUUUUCUUCCCACCUUGCCCCUCCGCCGUGCUCCGUUCAAGUGUCUCCGCACCCUCGGUCACCCCGUGUCCCGCCUCCCCUUCCUCAAAUGAGGCCGCUUCCGGGGCUCCAGGUUUCCCCAGAAGUUUUUUAUUGCACUAGGUCAUUCCUAUAGCAUACAUGCUCUAAGAGGAGAUGUCACUACUGACCCAGUGGAUAUUGAAAGAGAUACGGCUAUAUACUCAUAAACUCAACAGCUCAGAUGAACUAGACCACUAUCAAAGCUAUCAAAAUGUACCCAAGAAGAAACAGAUAAGCUGAAUAGUAUUGUGACUGUGUGUUUUCUUCUUCGUCAUGAUCUUAAGGAACCCGUAUCGACUCGAGUAGGGAAAAAGAAGGAAAUUGAGGCCGACAUUAUUACUUCUUUAAUGACUUGAAUCCAUCCAGAGGAGC